CGAGAGAUACAGAGUUUGAUCAUGGCUCAGAACGAACGCUGGCGGCAGGCCUCAAACAUGCAAGUCUAGGGGGUGUAGCAAUACAUCACCGGCGGACGGGUGCGUAACGCGUGGGAAUAUACCUUUCGGUACGGAACAACUGCGGGAAACUGCAGCUAAUACCGUAUACGUCCUAACGGAGAAAGAAUUUCGCCGAAAGAUUAGCCCGCGUUCGAUUAGCUAGUUGGUGGGGUAGUGGCCCACCAAGGCUACGAUCGAUAGCUGUUCUGAGAGGAAGAUCAGCCACACUGGGACUGAGACACGGCCCAGACUCCUACGGGAGGCAGCAGUUGGGAAUCUUGGACAAUGGGGAAACCCUGAUCCAGCCAUGCCGCGUGAGUGAUGAAGGCCUUCGGGUUGUAAAACUCUUUCGACGGGGACGAUAAUGACGGUACCCGUAGAAGAAGCUCCGGCUAACUUCGUGCCAGCAGCCGCGGUAAU
rnacentral:rRNA from 1 species